rnacentral:rRNA from 1 species
UACAGAGGUCUCAAGCGUUGUUCGGAUUCAUUGGGCGUAAAGGGUGCGUAGGCGGGUCUUUAAGUCAGGGGCGAAAUCCUGGAGCUCAACUCCAGAACUGCCUUUGAUACUGAGGAUCUUGAGUUCGGGAGAGGUGAGUGGAACUGCGAGUGUAGAGGUGAAAUUCGUAGAUAUUCGCAAGAACACCAGUGGCGAAGGCGGCUCACUGGCCCGAUACUGACGCUGAGGCACGAAAGCGUGGGGAGCAAACAGG